UACAGAGGCCCCAAGCGUUACUGAGAAUCACUGGGUUUAAAGGGUGCGUAGGUGGCGCGUUAAGUCCGUUGUGAAAUCCCUUGGCUCAACCAAGGAAUGGCUUCGGAUACUGGCGUGCUUGAGGCCGGUAUGGGUCACUGGAACUGACGGUGGAGCGGUGAAAUGCGUAGAUAUCGGCAGGAACGCCAAUGGUGAAGACAGGUGACUGGGCCGGUUCUGACACUGAGGCACGAAAGCGUGGGGAGCGAACGGG
rnacentral:rRNA from 1 species